rnacentral:rRNA from 1 species
GACGAACGCUGGCGGCGUGCUUAACACAUGCAAGUCGAACGGAAAGGCCCUGCUUUUGUGGGGUGCUCGAGUGGCGAACGGGUGAGUAACACGUGAGUAACCUGCCCUUGACUUUGGGAUAACUUCAGGAAACUGGGGCUAAUACCGGAUAGGAUCUCCUGCUGCAUGGUGGGGGUUGGAAAGUUUCGGCGGUUGGGGAUGGACUCGCGGCUUAUCAGCUUGUUGGUGGGGUAGUGGCUUACCAAGGCUUGGACGGGUAGCCGGACUGAGAGGGUGACCGGCCACAUUGGGACUGAGGUACGGCCCAGACUCCUACGGGAGGCAGCAGUGGGAAAUAUUGCACAAUGGGCGGAAGCCUAAUGCAGCAACGCCGCGUGCGGGAUGACGGCCUUCGGGUUGUAAACCGCUUUCGGCUGUGACGAAGCGUGAGUGACGGUAAUGGGUAAAGAAGCACCGGCUAACUACGUG